GGUCGCGCGAAAGCUUCGUCGCUUCUUGCGGUCCGCGAUUUGAAUUCCCGUUUUCCACGUUGCGUUGCACAGAUUUUCUACCGUUGCUGCUAUACUCGUCAUAUCAAGAAAUCAAUAUUUUUGACGAACAGUCAGUAGAAGGAUUGCUGCUACCUGGGAUUGAUCUUUACUGUGUUUCAGUGAUUACACGUUUUUUAUUUUCACUAGAAAUAUCGCUAGUAACGAUAAGUCUACGUACAAAAUACUCCAUAGCCCUAUCAAUGAAGAUCGGUCACAUUGCUUAGGCCAAUCUACUCAAAGGCACAAACUUCAGUCUCAACAUGUGUCAAUAAAUAGAAUUACAUAACAGUACAAUAAAAAUACAUCUUGUAAACGGUGUAAAAUACAGUACAAUUUUUUCUUA